rnacentral:ribozyme from 1 species
UGCCCAGCAACUCCUAUCCCUACCUCCACGCGAUACCGGCCGGAAACUAUGAGCAACCUUAGUGAAGAUCGGGUAACUUUGGUCGUAGGCUGACAGGGAAGG